UCAAGUGAAUAAGUGCAUCAGGCGGAUGCCUUGGCGAUGAUAGGCGACGAAGGACGUGUAAGCCUGCGAAAAGCGCGGGGGAGCUGGCAAUAAAGCUAUGAUUCCGCGAUGUCCGAAUGGGGAAACCCACUGCAUUCUGUGCAGUAUCCUAAGUUGAAUACAUAGGCUUAGAGAAGCGAACCCGGAGAACUGAACCAUCUAAGUACCCGGAGGAAAAGAAAUCAACCGAGAUUCCGCAAGUAGUGGCGAGCGAACGCGGAGGAGCCUGUACGUAAUAACUGUCGAGAUAGAAGAACAAGCUGGGAAGCUUGACCAUAGCGGGUGACAGUCCCGUAUUCGAAAUCUCAACAGCGGUACUAAGCGUACGAAAAGUAGGGCGGGACACGUGAAAUCCUGUCUGAAUAUGGGGGGACCAUCCUCCAAGGCUAAAUACUCAUCAUCGACCGAUAGUGAACCAGUACCGUGAGGGAAAGGCGAAAAGAACCCCGGGAGGGGAGUGAAACAGAACCUGAAACCUGAUGCAUACAAACAGUGGGAGCGCCCUAGUGGUGUGACUGCGUACCUUUUGUAUAAUGGGUCAACGACUUACAUUCAGUAGCGAGCUUAACCGGAUAGGGGAGGCGUAGGGAAACCGAGUCUUAAUAGGGCGAUGAGUUGCUGGGUGUAGACCCGAAACCGAGUGAUCUAUCCAUGGUCAGGUUGAAGGUGCCGUAACAGGUACUGGAGGACCGAACCCACGCAUGUUGCAAAAUGCGGGGAUGAGCUGUGGGUAGGGGUGAAAGGCUAAACAAACUCGGAGAUAGCUGGUUCUCCCCGAAAACUAUUUAGGUAGUGCCUCGAGCAAGACACUGAUGGGGGUAAAGCACUGUUAUGGCUAGGGGGUUAUUGCAACUUACCAACCCAUGGCAAACUCAGAAUACCAUCAAGUGGUUCCUCGGGAGACAGACAGCGGGUGCUAACGUCCGUUGUCAAGAGGGAAACAACCCAGACCGCCGGCUAAGGUCCCAAAUGAUAGAUUAAGUGGUAAACGAAGUGGGAAGGCACAGACAGCCAGGAUGUUGGCUUAGAAGCAGCCAUCAUUUAAAGAAAGCGUAAUAGCUCACUGGUCGAGUCGUCCUGCGCGGAAGAUGUAACGGGGCUCAAAUCUAUAACCGAAGCUGCGGAUGCCGGUUUACCGGCAUGGUAGGGGAGCGUUCUGUAGGCUGAUGAAGGUGCAUUGUAAAGUGUGCUGGAGGUAUCAGAAGUGCGAAUGUUGACAUGAGUAGCGAUAAAGCGGGUGAAAAGCCCGCUCGCCGAAAGCCCAAGGUUUCCUACGCAACGUUCAUCGGCGUAGGGUAAGUCGGCCCCUAAGGCGAGGCAGAAAUGCGUAGUCGAUGGGAAACAGGUUAAUAUUCCUGUACUUGAUUCAAAUGCGAUGUGGGGACGGAGAAGGUUAGGUUGGCAAGCUGUUGGAAUAGCUUGUUUAAGCCGGUAGGUGGAAGACUUAGGCAAAUCCGGGUUUUCUUAACACCGAGAAGUGAUGACGAGUGUCUACGGACACGAAGCAACCGAUACCACGCUUCCAGGAAAAGCCACUAAGCUUCAGUUUGAAUCGAACCGUACCGCAAACCGACACAGGUGGGCAGGAUGAGAAUUCUAAGGCGCUUGAGAGAACUCGGGAGAAGGAACUCGGCAAAUUGAUACCGUAACUUCGGGAGAAGGUAUGCCCUCUAAGGUUAAGGACUUGCUCCGUAAGCCCCGGAGGGUCGCAGAGAAUAGGUGGCUGCGACUGUUUAUUAAAAACACAGCACUCUGCCAACACGAAAGUGGACGUAUAGGGUGUGACGCCUGCCCGGUGCCGGAAGGUUAAUUGAAGAUGUGCAAGCAUCGGAUCGAAGCCCCGGUAAACGGCGGCCGUAACUAUAACGGUCCUAAGGUAGCGAAAUUCCUUGUCGGGUAAGUUCCGACCCGCACGAAUGGCGUAACGAUGGCCACACUGUCUCCUCCCGAGACUCAGCGAAGUUGAAGUGGUUGUGAAGAUGCAAUCUACCCGCUGCUAGACGGAAAGACCCCGUGAACCUUUACUGUAGCUUUGCAUUGGACUUUGAAGUCACUUGUGUAGGAUAGGUGGGAGGCUUGGAAGCAGAGACGCCAGUCUCUGUGGAGUCGUCCUUGAAAUACCACCCUGGUGUCUUUGAGGUUCUAACCCAGACCCGUCAUCCGGGUCGGGGACCGUGCAUGGUAGGCAGUUUGACUGGGGCGGUCUCCUCCCAAAGCGUAACGGAGGAGUUCGAAGGUUACCUAGGUCCGGUCGGAAAUCGGACUGAUAGUGCAAUGGCAAAAGGUAGCUUAACUGCGAGACCGACAAGUCGGGCAGGUGCGAAAGCAGGACAUAGUGAUCCGGUGGUUCUGUAUGGAAGGGCCAUCGCUCAACGGAUAAAAGGUACUCCGGGGAUAACAGGCUGAUUCCGCCCAAGAGUUCAUAUCGACGGCGGAGUUUGGCACCUCGAUGUCGGCUCAUCACAUCCUGGGGCUGUAGUCGGUCCCAAGGGUAUGGCUGUUCGCCAUUUAAAGUGGUACGUGAGCUGGGUUUAAAACGUCGUGAGACAGUUUGGUCCCUAUCUGCAGUGGGCGUUGGAAGUUUGACGGGGGCUGCUCCUAGUACGAGAGGACCGGAGUGGACGAACCUCUGGUGUACCGGUUGUAACGCCAGUUGCAUAGCCGGGUAGCUAAGUUCGGAAGAGAUAAGCGCUGAAAGCAUCUAAGCGCGAAACUCGCCUGAAGAUGAGACUUCCCUUGCGGUUUAACCGCACUAAAGGGUCGUUCGAGACCAGGACGUUGAUAGGUGGGGUGUGGAAGCGCGGUAACGCGUGAAGCUAACCCAUACUAAUUGCCCGUGAGGCUUGACU
rnacentral:rRNA from 1 species